rfam:Cavia porcellus supercont2_13 genomic scaffold, whole genome shotgun sequence.
AGAUGUGGGUGAGCUGGUGGUCGUACCUGUCACCCCACUGAUCACCAGGCUGAUGUGACUGCUGGAUGGGUGUCCCCUUCCUCUCUCUCCAAUCCAUGUAUGUCUCUCCUGAAGCUGAGUACUCGGGGAAAGAGGACUGCCAUCUCAGAGAGAGGGUCACAUCUCCUCAGUCAGGGUAUAGGAGUGAGCUCCCUUGGUAGAACCUUGGAGCAAGUUCUGGAGCCUGGAGAAUCAAGGCUCCAAAUUAAUAAGUGAAUUGGCCAAUUGUCCAAAUACUCAGCAUGCUUGAGGAUUUGCUACA